rnacentral:misc_RNA from 1 species
UCUCCGUUGGUGAACCAGCGGAGGGAUCAUUACAGAGUUGCGAAACUCCCUAAACCAUUUGUGAACCUACCCCCAAAACAGUUGCUUCGGCGGCGCCCUAGCCGGCCCGCCGGAGACCGCCAAACGCUUUGUUUUUACACUGGCCUCUCUGAGUAAAACAAACAAAUAAAUCAAAACUUUCAACAACGGAUCUCUUGGUUCUG